rnacentral:lncRNA from 1 species
UCAUCGCACUCAAGCUCACCCUGCAACUUGCUCGCUCUCGUCUCGGCUCUGAUAUUUUCUGCCCUGCCCUCUCGCUGCCCGGCGUCAGCCUUCCUUGGUCGGGAGACGAAGGAGAGAGAUAAAGGAGAAGAUGUCGGACGGCACGGCGACCUGCAUCGACAUCAUCCUCGCCAUCAUCCUGCCGCCGCUCGGGGUCUUCUUCAAGUUCGGCUGCGGGGUCAGUAAAAUCUACUAGCUCUGGUUCAGAGCUCUUGCUGACUCAUUUGCACCCCAGCGUGCUCAAAUACUUGCAUGAUACUGUGCGCUGGUUUAUGACUACUGUGUUCGUGGGGGCUAUAGCUGAUAGAUGGCUCUUGCUCUGCUUGCAGGUUGAGUUCUGGAUCUGCCUCGUCCUCACCUUCUUCGGCUACCUCCCCGGCAUCAUCUACGCCGUCUGGGCCAUCACCAAGUAGAGGGGCCUCUUCGAGGUACUAUUCUACAUGCACCUUCUUCAACAACCUGUUACUGUGAAACUGCUCGUGUAGAGAAAAACAAAACACGCACCUCGCUUCUUGAUGCUUCCAGUGAAUUGUUGCUUUAAUUUCCUUUUGAUUAUGGGCAUGCAGGUGAUGAUGGGGCCGGGCCUCGUGCGUGUGGUGUCCUCGUCGUGCCUGGUGUGAUCUGCAGUCGUUUGAGAUGUAAUUUCUUCUAGUUUCUCUUCCCUUUGGCUGGAUGGUGCGCACCGUGUUCGUCCCUCUCCGCGGGAUACGGGCUGCACCUCCUCCGAUCCAUUGUAUCGCCCAGUUCCUCUGCACAUUUCCGUCCCUGUACUUCGAUUGAUUAAUUAAUUCGUCCGUUCUUUAGUGGAAAUUAAUUCU